UUUAGAGGCCACACCAGCCUGUCAUUGCCUGAUCCCGUUAGAUCUUGGAAGCUAAGCAGGUCUGGGCCUGGUUAGUAGUUGGAUGGGAGACCACUGAGAAUUCCAGGUGCCACAGUGG
rnacentral:rRNA from 1 species